GGAUGUGAGAGCGAUCUGGCUGCAACAUCUGUCACCCCACAGAUUGCCAGGGUUGAUUCAGCUGAUCUGGCUGGCUAGGCGGGUGUCCCCUUCCUCCCUCACCACUCCAUGUGUGUCCCUCCCGAAGCUGCACGUUCGGUGAAAGAGGACAGUCUUCCCCGAUAGAGACGGUACCGUUCAUUGGUCAAGGGUAUACAGUAGCUGUGCUCCCCUGCUAGAACCUCCAAGCAAGCUCAAGGUCCAUUUGUAGGAGAACGUAGGGUAGUCAAGCUUCCAAGACUGCAGGCACAUUCAAGUGAGGCACUUGCAUGCAGCAGUCUGCCAUUGUUU
rnacentral:snRNA from 1 species